rnacentral:rRNA from 1 species
AUUAAAGGAAAUAAGAGCGCACAGUGGAUGCCUAGGCACCAAGAGCUGAUGAAGGACGCAAUUAACGGCGAUACGCUACGGGGAGCUGUAAAUAAGUGUAGAUCCGUGGAUUUCCGAAUGGGGCAACCUACUAUAAGCAGUUAUAGUAUCAAUUGUUAGGCAACUAACUGAUUGAAAGGAACGCAGUGAACUGAAAUAUCUAAGUAACUGCAGGAACAGAAAGUAAUAACGAUUCCGGUAGUAGUGACGAGCGAAUCCGGAACAGCCGGAUACCAAUAACUAGUUACCAAAUUUUAAUUAACUCGAAAUAGUUGGAAAGCUAUAUCCCAGAAGGUGAAAAUCCUGUAGAGGUAAGUUAAAAUCUAGGGUAUCCUCAAGUACGGCGAGACACGAGAAAUCUUGUUGGAAGAUAGGAGGACCAUCUCCUAAGGCUAAAUACUCCUUGGUGACCGAUAGUGAACUAGUACCGUGAGGGAAAGGUGAAAAGAACCCCGGAAGGGGAGUGAAAUAGAUCCUGAAACUGUGUGCUUACAAGUAGUCAAAGCUCGUUUAAGAGUGAUGGCGUGCCUUUUGCAGAAUGAACCGGCGAGUUAUGAUAUAGAGCAAGGUUAAGUUUGAAGGAACGUAGCCGUAGCGAAAGCGAGUCUGAAUAGGGCGUUUAGUUGUAUGUCAUAGACCCGAAACUGAAGUGAGCUAGCCAUGAACAGGCUGAAGUGACGUGACCACGUCAUGGAGGGCCGAACCAGGACACGUUGAAAAGUGUUUGGAUGAUUUGUGGCUAGAGGUGAAAUUCCAAUCGAACUCAGAGAUAGCUGGUUCUCCCCGAAAUAGCUUUAGGGCUAGCGUUGGGUAUUUAAUAGUUCUUGAAGGUAGAGCACUAAAUGAGUGCGGGCUCCACCUCGGGGUACCAAUCUCAAUUAAACUCCGAAUGUCAAGAACCGUAUCCCAGCAGUCAGACGAUGGGUGAUAAGGUCCAUGGUCAAAAGGGAAAGAGCCCAGACCGUCAGCUAAGGUCCCUAAAUUAAUGUUAAGUGGUUAAGGAAGUAAAAACGUUAAAACAAUUAGGAAGUUGGCUUAGAAGCAGCCAUCUUUUAAAGAGUGCGUAAUAGCUCACUAAUCUAAUAUUUUUGCACCGAAAAUGUAACGGGGCUAAACAUUAUACCGAAGCUACGGAUAUGUUCCGGCUAGUAAUAGCUAAGGAACAUGUGGUAGGGGAAGCGUUCUAACAUCGUAGAAGCUAUAGCGGAAGCAGUAGUGGAGAGGUUAGAAGUGAGAAUGCCGGUGUAAGUAACGAAAAGAUAGAUGAGAAUUCUAUCCGUCGAAAACCCAAGGUUUCCAGGGGCAGGGUCGUCCGCCCUGGGUUAGUCAGGAACUAAGGCGAGGCAGCAAUGCGUAGUCGAUGACCAGCAGGCUAAAAUUCCUGCACUAAAAAAAUCACUGAUGGAGGGACAAAAGAGGAUAAGCACGCCCUUUAUUGGAUUAGGGUCGAAAAAUCGAGUUUGAGAAGAUAGGCAAAUCCGUCUUCUUACUUGCCAAAAAAUGAGAUUUGAGGGUAACGUGACUGUGUUCAUAUUUUCUAGAAAAGCUUCUAGGGUUAAUGAUUUUUUUACCUGUACCGUAAACCGACACAGGUGGGAAGGUAGAGUAUACUAAGACGCGCGAGAAAACUCUUGUUAAGGAACUCGGCAAAAUGACUCCGUAACUUCGGGAUAAGGAGAGCUUUUAUGAUAAAAAGUAAAAGCCGCAGAGAAUAGGCCCAAGCGACUGUUUAUCAAAAACACAGGUCUCUGCUAAACCGUAAGGUGAUGUAUAGGGGCUGAUGCCUGCCCGGUGCUGGAAGAUUAAGAGGAGAUGUUCGGGCUUGCCCAAAGCAUUGAAUUGAAGUCCCAGUGAACGGCGGCCGUAACUAUAACGGUCCUAAGGUAGCGAAAUUCCUUGUCGGGUAAAUUCCGACCUGCACGAAAGGCAUAACGAUUUGGGCGCUGUCUCAACAAGAGUCUCGGUGAAAUCAAAUUACCGGUGAAAAUGCCGGUUACCCGCGACAGGACGAAAAGACCCCAUGGAGCUUUACUGUAGCUUAAUAUUGGAAUUGGAAAUCUCAUGUACAGGAUAGGUGGGAGACAGAGAACUUUAGACGCUAGUUUAAAGGGAGUCACCGGUGGGAUACCACUCUUGAGAUUUUUAGUUUCUAACCUGCAUAAGUGGAUUAUGAGGGACAGUGUUUGGUGGGCAGUUUGACUGGGGCGGUCGCCUCCUAAAAAGUAACGGAGGCGUUCAAAGGUUCCCUCAAAAUGGUCAGAAAUCAUUUUUAGAGCGUAAAGGUAUAAGGGAGCUUGACUGUGAGACCUACAAGUCGAGCAGGGACGAAAGUCGGACUUAGUGAUCUUGCGGUACCGAAUGGAAGGGCCGUGACUCAACGGAUAAAAGCUACCCUGGGGAUAACAGCCUUAUCGCCCCCGAGCGUUCACAGCGACGGGGCGGUUUGGGACCUCGAUGUCGGCUCAUCGCAUCCUGGAGCUGGAGCAGGUUCCAAGGGUUGGGCUGUUCGCCCAUUAAAGCGGUACGCGAGCUGGGUUCAGAACGUCGUGAGACAGUUCGGUCUCUAUCCGUCGUGGGCGUUGGAAAUUUGCGAGGAACUGUCCCUAGUAUGAGAAGACCGGGAUGGAUAUACCGCUGGUGCACCAGUUGGUUCGCCAGAGCCAUAGCUGGGUAGCUAUGUAUAGUAUGGAUAAACACUGAAAGCAUCUAAGUGUGAAGCCUCCCUCAAGAUGAGAUUUCCCUAAGAGAUCCCUGAAAGACGAUCAGGUUGAUAGGCUAGAAGUGGAAGAGUAGUGAUAUUUGGAGCUGACUAGUACUAAUAGAUCCAACGACUUUGAUGA